AAACGCAACGUUAUCGCGCGCUUCGCGAUCGCUCCCGCUUUCUUUCACGCGAUGCUUCGGCCUGGCUCUUUAGAAAACUAGAUAAUACUGAUAAUUCGAGCCUCGCUCGAGCGGUCCGUACUCGGUACACACAGUCGACUUUUCCUCCCGUCG